rnacentral:lncRNA from 1 species
GGGUUGCUUCACUCUUUUGGAAUUUAGAAUAUUAUUCAGAUGAGUGCUCAAUAUAUACUCAGCCUAACAGGGAUCCAAAUCACCAAGAAAUGCACUUCUGGGCUUCGAGAAGAUGAUGUCCAACAAGUACCAAUGACUAUAUGGCUCCAAAGUUUGAAUUGUAUACACAUAAAUGCAUGCAGACAUGCAUGCAUACAAACAUGUAUGACUACAUAUAUAUUUACUUUUCGCGAAGGAGGUUUUAAACUUGCCAAACAGCUAUUACCUCUUUAACAUUCCAACAACAAGAUGCCAAUACACACCUUUGUAAGAAUGGUUCAUAUGUCACAUAUUGUAGCUCUCAAAGAUAACAUCUAAUUGACAGCAUUAUAGCAGUAAUCAUCCUCCAACCAACUUGCUCUAAUUCAGCUAAGCAACAUUUGCAGGCUAUUACGAUCAUUAACCUAACCAAAUAUAACCUUGUUUGUUUUAAUCCCAAAUUUUGGCCAAAAUGAAAUUGUUCAUGAAAGCUGUAAAAUAAUUUCUAAUUGAUAGAAAGAUGCAAUGACCUCUUUCAACGGGUUCCUUGUCUAAUGAGGGAGUUUAUUGGUAAAAUACCUAGCCCAUGUGAAUUUGGGACCAAAGUAGCAGCCAAUAUUCACAGUAUAAUUUGCUCAAUUUAAUAAUUUCCUCUUAUGUGUAGGGCAACUGUUUAUCCUCUUGAAUCAUAUUUAGUAUAACUAAUUUGUCACUGAAGAUGGGUCAACAUCGUAAAUAUUUAGGUAUGUAUCAGCAUUCCACAUAAACAGGGCAAAUGGAAUAUUCAUGACAUGCAUCCUCAGGAGGUAAUUUCCCAUGGAUUUCAUAAAUUUCAUUCCCCAUAUGUUUGCUUCAAGACGACUUCCAUAAAAACAAAAGCAGGCUAGUUGUUAUGUGCAUCAUGUUAUAUGUAUAUAUAUGUAUAUAUUUAUAUAUAUGUAUAUAUAUAUGUAUAUGUAUAUAUAUAUGUAUAUGUAUGUAUAUGUAUAUAUAUAUGUAU